rnacentral:rRNA from 1 species
UACGGAGGGGGCGAGCGUUGUCCGAAGUUACUGGGCGUAAAGCGCGCGUAGGCGGGUUGCUAAGUCCGCUGUGAAAGCCCGAGGCUCAACCUCGGAGGGUCGGUGGAUACUGGCAGCCUUGAAGGUGGUAGGGGGGAGAUGGAAUUACCGGUGUAGCGGUGAAAUGCGUAGAGAUCGGUAGGAACACCAGUGGCGAAGGCGGGUCUCUGGGCAUUUCCUGACGCUGAGGCGCGAAAGCGUGGGGAGCAAACGGG